AACUGUGAGAUCAUGACCUGAGCCGAAGUCGGACGUUCAACCGACCGAGCCACCCAGGCGCCCCCCAGAAACUUUCUUAAACCCAUUACACAUGUGGUCUCAGUCUCCACAAAGCACCCUUAUCUCCCAAUUGUACUGAUUGUACUAAGAAAUCUCCUCAUCGUACUAAGAAAUAGGUCUGAAGAGAUUACUGUAUCUUGUCCAAGGCAACAAAAUAAGUAAACAGGAAAGGGAGAGCGUGAAUCCUCGCAAUGUGAUUUUAGGGUUUAUACAAACUUACAGUUGAAAGACCUAGUAUGUUGCAACUGCUAAGUGAAACCUAAGUCAGGCACAGUUCUGUGGGUCUGAACUACAACUAGGCUUAAUCCUUUACACUCCACUAAGGUACAUUCAAGCUAAAAGUAUGAAUGAAUGAUCCGUAUGACAACAAAAUGACUAGAAUAAAGUACCAAAUAAGACCCUAUGGAGAGAUCCACAUGUCAAACAACUGAUAUCUACAGCCAAAAGGCAUUGAAGAUCGGAAGCCAGCUAGCAGCCAUGUGAAUGAGGUUGGAAACAGAACGUCCUCCAGUUGAACCCUGACAUGCCUGUCUCCCUGUCCAACAUCUUGGGAAACUCUCAGGCACAGCAUCUCACUGAGGGGCACUCAGAUUCUUGAUCUAGAAAGACUGCAAUAUAAUAAAUGUUUGUUGUUUUAAGAGGCUAAA